UGCCUAACACAUGCAAGUCGAACGGAGCUUAGAGAGCUUGCUUUUUAAGCUUAGUGGCGAACGGGUGAGUAACGCGUAUGCAACCUGCCCUUCACAGGGGGAUAACCGGGAGAAAUUCCGACUAAUACCGCAUACGUCCUUUGGGGGCAUCCCCGGGGGAUGAAAGAGUUAUCGGUGAAGGAUGGGCAUGCGUGAUAUUAGGUAGUUGGCGGGGCAACGGCCCACCAAGCCCACGAUAUCUAGGGGUUCUGAGAGGAAGGUCCCCCACAUUGGUACUGAGACACGGACCAAACUCC
rnacentral:rRNA from 1 species